rnacentral:misc_RNA from 1 species
UGGCUCUCGCAUCGAUGAAGAACGCAGCGAAAUGCGAUAAGUAAUGUGAAUUGCAGAAUUCAGUGAAUCAUCGAAUCUUUGAACGCACCUUGCGCCUCUUGGUAUUCCGAGAGGCAUGCCUGUUUGAGUGUCAUUAAAUUCUCAACCUCAAAAAGCUUUUGCUUUCUUGAGGAUUGGAUGUGAGGGUUGCUGGCUUUGAGUAAGAGUCAGCUCCCUUUAAAUGCAUUAGUGGAAACCUUGUGUGGACCACAUUGGUGUGAUAAUUAUCUACGCCAUUGGCUUUGUGUCUGCAGUCGAAGUGGUUUUAUUAUUACUUCGGUUUGGAGGGCUGCAGUUGUAAUAGACUGCUCUCUCUGUUGAAGGUAUCUGCUUCAAACCGUCCUAAGUUACUGGACAAGAUUUGAUUUGUUUGACCUCAAAUCAGGUAGGACUACCCGCUGA